rnacentral:rRNA from 1 species
UACAGAGGUCUCAAGCGUUGUUCGGAAUCAUUGGGCGUAAAGGGCGCGUAGGCGGUUCGUACAGUCAGACGUGAAAUUCCUGGGCUCAACCUGGGGGCUGCGUUUGAUACGUGCGGACUUGAGUGCGGAAGAGGGUCGUGGAAUUCCCAGUGUAGAGGUGAAAUUCGUAGAUAUUGGGAAGAACACCGGUGGCGAAGGCGGCGACCUGGUCCGAUACUGACGCUGAGGCGCGAAAGCGUGGGGAGCAAACAGG